rnacentral:misc_RNA from 1 species
GAUGAAGAACGUAGCGAAAUGCGAUAAGUAGUGUGAAUUGCAGAAUUCAGUGAAUCAUCGAAUCUUUGAACGCACAUUGCGCCCCUUGGUAUCCCGAGGGGCAUGCCUGUUCGAGCGUCAUUUCACCACUCAAGCCUGGCUUGGUGUUGGGCGACGUCCCCUUUGGGGACGCGCCUCGAAACGCUCGGCGGCGUGGCACCGGCUUUAAGCGUAGCAGAAUCUUUCGCUUUGGAAGUCGGGGCCGCGUCUGCCGGAAGACCUACUCGCAAGGUUGACCUCGGAUCAGGCAGGGAUACCCGCUGAACUUAAGCAUAUCAAUAAGCGGAGGA